AUUUUGACCGUGCGAAGGUAGCGCAAUCACUUGUCUUUUAAAUGGAGACCUGUAUGAAUGGCAUGACGAGGGCUUAGCUGUCUCCUUUUUCGAGUCAAUGAAAUUGAUCUCCCCGUGCAGAAGCGGGGAUUUACACAUAAGACGAGAAGACCCUAUGGAGCUUUAGACACCAAAGCAGAUCAUGUCAAACACCCCUAAACAAAGGGCCAAACUAAAUGAACCCUGCCCUAAUGUCUUUGGUUGGGGCGACCGCGGGGAAACACAAAACCCCCACGUGGAAUGAGAGCACUUCCUCUUACAGCCGAGAGUUCCCACUCUAGCAAACAGAAAUUCUGACCAUUAAGAUCCGGCAAAGCCGAUCAACGGACCGAGUUACCCUAGGGAUAACAGCGCAAUCCCCUUUUAGAGCCCAUAUCGACAAGGGGGUUUACGACCUCGAUGUUGGAUCAGGACAUCCUAAUGGUGCAGCCGCUAUUAAGGGUUCGUUUGUUCAACG
rnacentral:rRNA from 1 species